AUUGAACGCUGGCGGCAUGCUUUACACAUGCAAGUCGAACGGUAACAGGCCGCAAGGUGCUGACGAGUGGCGAACGGGUGAGUAAUGCAUCGGAACGUGCCCAGUCGUGGGGGAUAACUACUCGAAAGAGUAGCUAAUACCGCAUACGAUCUAUGGAUGAAAGCGGGGGACCGUAAGGCCUCGCGCGAUUGGAGCGGCCGAUGUCAGAUUAGGUAGUUGGUGGGGUAAAGGCUCACCAAGCCAACGAUCUGUAGCUGGUCUGAGAGGACGACCAGCCACACUGGGACUGAGACACGGCCCAGACGCCUACGGGAGGCAGCAGUGGGGAAUUUUGGACAAUGGGCGCAAGCCUGGUCCAGCAAUGCCGCGUGCAGGAAGAAGGCCUUCGGGUUGUAAACUGCUUUUGUACGGAACGAAACGGCUCUGGUUAAUACCCGGGGCUAAUGACGGUACCGUAAGAAUAAGCACCGGCUAACUACGUG
rnacentral:rRNA from 1 species